UACACUCCUACGGGAGGCAGCAGUGGGGAAUUUUGGACAAUGGGCGAAAGCCUGAUCCAGCCAUGCCGCGUGCAGGAUGAAGGCCUUCGGGUUGUAAACUGCUUUUGUACGGAACGAAACGGCCUUUUCUAAUAAAGAGGGCUAAUGACGGUACCGUAAGAAUAAGCACCGGCUAACUACGUGCCAGCAGCCGCGGUAAUACGUAGGGUGCAAGCGUUAAUCGGAAUUACUGGGCGUAAAGCGUGCGCAGGCGGUUAUGUAAGACAGUUGUGAAAUCCCCGGGCUCAACCUGGGAACUGCAUCUGUGACUGCAUAGCUAGAGUACGGUAGAGGGGGAUGGAAUUCCGCGUGUAGCAGUGAAAUGCGUAGAUAUGCGGAGGAACACCGAUGGCGAAGGCAAUCCCCUGGACCUGUACUGACGCUCAUGCACGAAAGCGUGGGGAGCAAACAGGAUUAGAUACCCUAGUAGUCCC
rnacentral:rRNA from 1 species